rnacentral:miRNA from 1 species
ACGGAGAGUCUUUGUCACUCAG